rnacentral:rRNA from 1 species
GACGAACGCUGGCGGCGUGCUUAACACAUGCAAGUCGAACGAAGAGCGAUGGAAGCUUGCUUCUAUCAAUCUUAGUGGCGAACGGGUGAGUAACGCGUAAUCAACCUGCCCUUCAGAGGGGGACAACAGUUGGAAACGACUGCUAAUACCGCAUACGAUCUAAUCUCGGCAUCGAGGAUAGAUGAAAGGUGGCCUCUACAUGUAAGCUAUCACUGAAGGAGGGGAUUGCGUCUGAUUAGCUAGUUGGAGGGGUAACGGCCCACCAAGGCGAUGAUCAGUAGCCGGUCUGGAGGGAUGAACGGCCACAAUGGGACUGAGAAACGGCCCAGACUCCUACGGGAGGCAGCAGUGGGGAAUCUUCCGCAAUGGACGAAAGUCUGACGGAGCAACGCCGCGUGAGCGAUGACGGCCUUCGGGUUGUAAAGCUCUGUUAAUCGGGACGAAAGGCCUUCUUGCGAAUAGUGAGAAGGAUUGACGGUACCGGAAUAGAAAGCCACGGCUAACUACGUG